UAUGUGGCAGUGAAUAGAAGAAGUAAAUAUAUUCUUAUAUGUAAAGAGAGGAAGUAGAGGGUGUAAAGCUUCUCAUAUGAGGUUUAUUGAAGGCUGUCUAGGAGCCUAUUAUGGUGUUUGAGAGAUAUGGAUUUUAUAAUUUUAAAUCUAUAUAAUUAGGGUGGUACCGCGAAAAACUUUCGUCCCUUUU
rnacentral:ncRNA from 1 species